AACGAACGCUGGCGGCGCGCCUAAUACAUGCAAGUCGAGCGAGAAGACGUAGCAAUACGUUUGUAAAGCGGCGAACGGGUGAGGAAUACAUGGGUAACCUACCCUCGAGCGGGGAAUAACUAGCCGAAAGGUUAGCUAAUACCGCGUACGCUCCUUGGACUUCGGUUCAGGGAGGAAAGCGAUACCGUGGGGUAUCGCGCUCUUGGAUGGGCUCAUGUCCUAUCAGCUUGUUGGUGAGGUAACGGCUCACCAAGGCUUCGACGGGUAGCUGGUCUGAGAGGACAAUCAGCCACAACUGGCACUGCGACACGGGCCAGACUCCUACGGGAGGCAGCAGUAAGGAAUAUUGCGCAAUGGGCGAAAGCCUGACGCAGCGA
rnacentral:rRNA from 1 species